UAGAGUUUGAUCCUGGCUCAGAAUCAACGCUGGCGGCGUGCCUAACACAUGCAAGUCGCACGAGAAAGGGGCUUCGGCUCUGAGUAAAGUGGCGCACGGGUGAGUAACACGUGAAUUAUCUACCUCCGAGUGGGGAAUAACUGAGAGAAAUCUUAGCUAAUACCGCAUAACACUUACGAGUCAAAGCAGCAAUGCGCUUGGAGAGGAGUUCGCGGCCGAUUAGUUAGUUGGCGGGGUAAUGGCCCACCAAGACGAUGAUCGGUAUCCGGCCUGAGAGGGCGCACGGACACACUGGAACUGAAACACGGUCCAGACUCCUACGGGAGGCAGCAGUGGGGAAUUUUGCGCAAUGGGGGAAACCCUGACGCAGCAACGCCGCGUGGAGGAUGAAAUCCCUUGGGAUGUAAACUCCUUUCGAUAGGGAAGAUUAUGACGGUACCUAUAGAAGAAGCCCCGGCUAACUUCGUGCCAGCAGCCGCGGUAAUACGAGGGGGGCAAGCGUUGUUCGGAAUUAUUGGGCGUAAAGGGCGCGUAGGCGGUUUGACAAGUCUGAUGUGAAAUCUCUGGGCUCAACCCAGAGUCUGCAUUAGAAACUGUCGGGCUUGAGUAUGGGAGAGGUGAGUGGAAUUUCCGGUGUAGCGGUGAAAUGCGUAGAUAUCGGAAGGAACACCUGUGGCGAAAGCGGCUCACUGGACCAUAACUGACGCUGAGGCGCGAAAGCUAGGGGAGCAAACAGGAUUAGAUACCCUGG
rnacentral:rRNA from 1 species